GACAUACUAAGAACUUUCCAGAGAUGGAUUGGUGCCUUCGGGAACUUAGAUACAGGUGCUGCAUGGCUGUCGUCAGCUCGUGUCGUGAGAUGUUGGGUUAAGUCCCGNAACGAGCGCAACCCUUUUCCUUAUUUGCCAGCGGGUCAUGCCGGGAACUUUAAGGAUACUGCCAGUGACAAACUAGAGGAAGGCGGGGACGACGUCAAGUCAUCAUGGCCCUUACGGCCAGGGCUACACACGUGCUACAAUGGUCGGUACAAAGGGUUGCUACCUCGCGAGAGGAUGCUAAUCUCAAAAAGCCGAUCGUAGUCCGGAUCGCAGUCUGCAACUCGACUGCGUGAAGUCGGAAUCGCUAGUAAUCGCGGAUCAGAAUGCCGCGGUGAAUACGUUCCCGGGCCUUGUACACACCGCCCGUCACGCCAUGGGAGUUUGUUGCACCAGAAGUAGGUAGUCUAACCGCAAGGAGGACGCUUACCACGGUGUGGCCGAUGACUGGGGUGAAGUCGUAACAAGGUAGGCGUAGAUGA
rnacentral:rRNA from 1 species